rnacentral:sRNA from 1 species
UUUUAGCCCAGAUAGUAAUGAAAACCCCGGAGGAUUGCAAGUUAGUAUUUCUUGGCGUAAAAGAGCGCCUUUUGAAGCUCCUUUUACGGCUUAGAAAUACAAGUUGCAAGCUGAGGAGUUGUAAUGGAUAGCUGGAUUUUGC